rnacentral:lncRNA from 1 species
AACGGCCUUGUACUGUCUCGGUGGCGCGUGAUUGGCUGCGCGAGUAGUGACGUCGUUGCUCUCGGUCGCAGCCAAGCGCUCGCGCAGCAGCUUCUCUCCGGCUCCGAAAUUGGUAGGCCACGCGUCAUACGUACUCCUGAGGCGCAGGCAGCUUUCGAUCAGAAACUCCACAAGCAGAACCGGGAACGAGCUCGCAUACGUCGUACCGAUGCUGGA